UGUCGUUCUUCUUUCUAUUUUCCUUCUGCUCAAUUUUUGUUGUUUAACUUGUGAUGUCUCCUUAGAACUCCUCCUUUUUAUCUUUUAGUAUUUGUUAUGUGCUAUUGGCAUUCUUUUUGGUUUUCUCUUGGAACUUUUUAGUUUACUUUGUGUUUUUCCUCUGCUUUCUCAACCAUGCAUGUGUUUCGGUCUUGUUUAAAACAAAAUUUUAGGGUCUUAUUCUCUCAGACUUUCAUGAAGUUGUUCUCUGUGCUUGCAUUUGUUAGCUAGGGCUUUAAAUAAAUUGUACAAGUUAAGAUUUCUGUUCUAAUUUAAAUUGAAUUUCGUAUUGCAGAUUUUGCUAAUAAUGAGCAGAGUAGUAAUUUGUUGUGUAAUACAAGUGUUUUAAAAGGCGUGAGCGUGAGGCGAGGCGUUUUACUUAGUAUGGGGUGAGGCGUAAGCCCCAUGAAUCAUUCAAUUAUUAAUUUAUACUAUAGUAAAAUAGUAUAAUAACACACAAAUUAUAAAAAAUAUAUUAAUAGUUUUUAAAAAAUUAAAAACAUGAUUAAAGAAGCUCAUAGUAAAUAAAACUUCUAACAUGAUUUUACAAGUAUAAUUAAUGCAAUGAUUUAAAACUUAUAUGAGAUGCAACCAACUCUAACAUCUUAACUUUCAAGUAAUAAAAAAAAUCACAAAUUCUAAAAACAUGCUACUAUCAUACUAUGAUUUACAUCCCUAUAAUUAAUAAACUUUAUCAUAUCAUGAUUAAGACAUCACUCCUUCAUGAAUUAAAAUAAAAUUACUUUCAAUUAGAAAAAUAAUUAAUUAUGAUAAUUUUGAGAUAUAGGACAAAUACGUGAAGACCAAUGAUAAGUAAAGAUGUGAAAUUCGGCUAUGUAUUUUUAAAAGAAAUGUUAAGUGAAAUUCACCCUCACAGUGUUCACAAAUAGUAAAUAUGCAAUACUACAGUUUGUUAUUUGAGUUACUCUCAAUCACCUUAUUUAUAUAGAUGAAGAAAACUAUUAAGCAUCAUUCAUUUGAUAAAGAAUUAUGAGGGUCAAUAAUAUUAAUUGAGCAAUUUGACACAUAAUUUGUGUAAGAACUCUUAGGCGAGCCCUAAGCGUUGGGUGUUAGAUGUGUUUAGGGCGUCCACUUGGACGCCUAGGGCGUAAGCCUCAUAGAACUAAGCCCCACAUGAAAGCCCCGAGGUGUUUUGCCAGUGCCCCGCCCUGGGCGAGCCCCAAGGCGAUUCCCAGAACUUCCUUUUAAAACACUGUGUAUCCUGGUGAGCUUGACAAAUCUCUUUGAAUGAAAUUACUGCAUCAAUUAAAAAAGGCUUCAUUCCUAGCUUUACCAAUAUUUUAUAUUUUAAUAGAUUUUAAAUGACAAUGGAGUCUAAUCUUGGGUUCUUCUUAAGCAAUGUAUUCACUCAUUGGACUCCAAAAUCCAAAAUUUUCCCUAACUUUGUUUUUAGUCGGAAAGAUUGUGCCUCUUUCUGUUCCAAAUCUACUAAGUUGAAUAACUGAAAAGAGAAUUUGCAAUUUCUUGAGGAUAAGCAUGUUUUGGGAGGGUUAUAUUGAAGAAAGCUCAUCCUAAGUGUUCAAUAUUUAUGAAGAAAGAUGAGGGAAUUGGUAUAUAGGAGGGUCAGUUCUUCGGGGUUUCACAAGGAACUUGGUAGAGGCAUGUCCCGAUCCAUAUUUGCUAGAGGUAUUCACGUAUUUUAUAUCACCAUUAAGGCAUGGUCACUUCAAUUUGACUAUCCUAGAUUCAUUUGGACAUAGAUCUUAUGGGAAUAUACGAAGUUUUCUGCAAUUGCAUGUUUAUCGCAUCAUAUUCCCUCCUUAAGAUUGCAACAUGACUUAAUUGUGUGCAAAUGUCUAUCUUUCAAUUUUCAAAGUAAAUAUUCGGAUUUGCCGUUAUCCGACUCUUCUUCUUCCUCUUUCUUUGUCGUUUUAUUUUUGGUGGAUUUCAUAGGUGAAUUUUUCUUUUCUCUUGUUUUUAGCCAUAUCUAUGUUACAGUAUUCAAAGUUAACAGGUUUGAUGUUCUCUGAUAUUGAUGUUCUCUAUGCUGCAUGUGUUAGCUCUAUCUUGAGAUAAAAUAUACGAUGUCCAUUUAUAAUUCUUCAUUUUUUAUACUAUAUCUAUUUAAAAAUUAAGACUCUUAUCAUGACAAAACUGUCAAAAUAAGAACCUCCCAUAAUCCUUCACUUCUCGUUCAAUUCCAGUAGCAGAUUUAUUGUGAGAAGAAAGAGUAGAGAAGUUCACAAUAUAAGUUGUUUUGCAGGAAAAUGAAGUCCCUACUGGAGCUUACUUUUGGCUUUUGUUAUGUAAAUAGAUAUUCAAACGACCUCUGUAACCAUGAAACAAAGGUAAUGAAAAUUACACCUUGCCUUUAUCUUUCCCCUGCAUCUCCCUCAAGAAUAAUAAAUAACUAUAGUAUUGCAAGUUUGACCUAAAUAGAUUUUUUAUUUUAAGUUCCUUUUCACUGCACCCAUGCCAGUAAUUAGAAAUUACGCAAUUCAAAUGAGGCUCCACAGAACAGUUUUAAAUCCAACAACAUACUUUUGUUUUAUUUCUGGUUUAACCUAAAAUGGAACUUGUAAAUGAGGCAGAAUCAGUACUACGGUUGCUAGAGUCCCUGCAUGUUUAGGAAGGGAUAUAAUUUUGUCUUCUAAUCAUUUAUUCCUCUGUACAUAUCUCCACCACCUUCUUAGUGUUGUUAUUUAUAUAUAAUAGCUUAUGUGAAAAAACUUCCCUGUUUAGAUAUUCAAAUAGACCAAUUUCCACAUUGGAAUCAAGUGAUGAUUCAAGCUUUUUGAAAAUAAAUUUAGUCACAUUAAGUAUGUGAAAAGAAGUGUGCAUUGGCUGGUGGUGAUAAUUUUAUCCCGAAGAAUGGUACGAUACUACGAUCAAGAAGUGUGCAUUGGCUGGUGGCAGUGGCAGAGCCACACUAUGCCAAGGGUGUUCAUCCGAACCCCCUCGGCAGAAAAAAACACUAUUUUUAUAAGGUUAAAAUUAUUUUUUAUGUAUAUAUAGUAGAUGUUGAACCCCCUUAGGCUUCUUUGUAUGUUUACUUUUUUAUAUUUUGAACCCCCUCGGUGAAAAUCCUGACUCCGUCACUGGCUGGUGGUAAUAAUUUUAUCGGAAGAAUGGUACGAUCAAGAAGUGAACCCUUUGUUUGGUCAAAACUUCAAUAUCUCUCCUUUCAUGAAGUCCUUACCAUUAUCGGCCAUGUUAUGAUUUCUAUGCCAUUCCAUAAACUAUUCACGACCAGGUACAAAACCAACUAUUCUUGACUGUGCAUUCCUGUUUCCAAUAGCUAAGGAUUCACAAAGAGCUCUAGGCUUAUGAGCAUGAGGCUUUAUGAAAUAGUCAACUUUCAAAAGAGAUGCAUCAUGUUUUGCUCUGCAUGUAAAUAGGUUUCCCAAAAUGACUGUACCAUUUGGAAAAUACUCAACAUCCACAGUGGAAAUUUCAUAAUCUUUAAAAUCUUGUAGAACUUUGUUCUCGGUGCUUGUUUAUAUGAAGUGUAAAUAUUUAGUGAACAUUUAUCAGUAUUCUAAUAUGCUUUUCAUGUCAAGGUGCAUCUUUGUUUUCAAUUUAUAAUUAAUAUUAGUUGAUGCUGAUUCUACUCCUUUCACUCCAUAUUUCUGGUUAAGUAGUAAAUUACAUUAUCAUUUCUCAUUCCCACUCUACGUCAAAUGUUUCUACCAUAUUUCCUUUUUUAUGGAGGCUUCCCCUUUCCUGAAUAUUGCAAUAGCUUUCAGAGAUUAAAAUGGUUUGUUCCAUGUAGAAAGUUAUUGUUUGCUGAAAUUGAAGUUUGACAAAUGUAGCUUUAUCAGAUAAACCUUUCCUGUGUAAUCUUGUAGCUUUGUUUGGUAAACCUUUUCAAAGAUAUGUGAUUCCCAGGAAGCCUCCUUCGUUGAUCUUUCUGAGAAGUUGCAAAUGAGGUGAACCACUCAACUAGGUAUAAUCCUACUUUGAAAGGUGACGUUGAAUAUUAGAAUUGAGGCUAAGUUUUAUACCUAUCUGAGUUGAAAAUCCCUAUGUUAAGCUCUGUCUGGAAUUAUUUCUGAAUUGUCGCAGGUCUCUUCGAUUUCCUCCCUUUAAAACUUCCAAAAGAGAUGGACAUCAUGUACUUCUCCAGGAUGACUACUACCUUAAAAAAUUUAGACCAUCUAAAUAUUUUGUGAAUGAUUAGUAAUUUGAGCUUCAAUGUUUGCUCAAACCACUGUGAUUAGGACAUUCUACUCUAACUUCGUAUGCUUGGUCUUCUUUUUUUCAGAACACGUGCUGCCAUCUGUAACUGCUAGAAUCUAGAUUUUAUCCACUUGUAGAGUCACUUUCUUUCAUUUUAGCAAGCUCACCAAUGUAAUGAUAAACUUUGUUCCACAACAGAAUGUACAGAGAAUGAAGCAUAUUAUGUUGAUAUUUAACUCAAUGGUACUGCUUCCUUGA